ensembl:lncRNA
AUUAGACUCAAGAGAAUGAGCUCUCAAGCCUUUAUUCUGUAAAAUAGAGAGACAUAGGCUAUCUCAAAGGAGGGAUGUCCUAGAGGUGUAGAUUUUACAGGAUCUUAUUUUUAUGGAGCAGUACUUUGCAAAACUAUGGGCUAUCUGAAUCUGCUUGCACUUAUGGAAAUGCACAGCAAACAAAGCCAUAGACAAUUGUUCCUUAACAGGAGUAGGUCUGAAGGUGUUGGAAUUGACCCCUUUGACAGGGUGGCACCCAGCCUGUCUGCCACCCAGCCUGUCUGCCACAUUGAGAACAAAAAGAAAAGCUUAACAAGGAAAUAUGCUCUGUAACUACUUUGGCAGCCUUUGAAUAGUUAGAGAUAUUUCAGAAAAAAAAAAAAUCCUCUAAAAAUUCAGUAUUUUGGAAAUACAGAUCUGUCCCAAGGAACUGCUCAACAAUGAAACUCCUUUUCUGUCUUCCUUCCAUCUCUUCUCUAUAUCUCACAGGGAAGACAGUGUUGUAAUCAGAGGACUAACUGGGAGUAAAUGUUUAUAAGGCUGUGGAUGUUUUUGGAUAUGCCCAUAAUCUGAGUUUUGAUCAGCUUGGUUCUGUGUGAAUGUGGACUCCUUUCCAAGGUGAUGCUUUUGUGAGAAAGCUUAGGAACAGACAACUAGAAUGAAUUCACUCCCAGGUGCUGAGGCAAAUCCGCAAAAAUGUUUUGGAUUUUGAGGGUAUUUCAUUUAAUCUAAACGUGCAGCAGUGUUGAAAGAAGGUUUGUUUCCCAUCCCUCUGUAUGCUGCAAGCUAAAAAAGCCCUUUCCAGACCUUACACCACAGCUGUAACGCAUAAUGACCUCAACAGUUCUCUGCCUGAGGAAGAACAAAAGGACAUCCUAAGGGAAAACGCGCAGAUGAUCCUACGAAGUACUUGCACUGCAAUUUAGACACAGGACUAGAGGCAGAAUGCUGGGUGAGCAAGCAAGAAUCCUGGACUUCCUAAGGUAGUGCUGUUUCUUGUAGCCGAGACCCACCAAUGUGAUGGGGCAAACUGGUAGCACUUAACAUAUCACAACCUUUGCAGGGAAAAAUGAAGUGCCAGUCCCGAAUGCUGCACAAGUGACCAUGGAUGUAGAAUGGUGCACGUUUUGUUCUGGGCAUCCUUAUUGAAUAGUGACAUCAUCAGAGGUGCUCGAUUGAUCCGUGAUUUGAGGAGAAACUGCUUGGACUUGAUCCUCCCUUUGUCCUUCCACAGAGAAACAAAUGCUGCGGUGUUCAGCUCUUUCACUGGCAGCUGUCAUACUGAAGAGAACUCACAUGUUAGGAAGAGGUGUUCAGGAAGAAUGUAAGCAAAUGCAUGAACUGAAACACAGCCCGUUCUAUUGCCUCUGUCCUAAGGUGUCAAAUUAGGGCUCAGUUUUGUAAUCAUAGUUAUGUAUCUGAGGGGGACACAAACAACAUCUAGCACAACCAUUUGUGGUCUUCAGCUGCAGGAUGACAUAGCUAACAGUAAUAACCAUUCAUGGGCAGUCUUGUUGCCUUCCUAAAGCCAGCACUGCACUGCAACAUCAGCACUGAGAUAAAAUGCUCAGGAAUGGGACUCCUGGGGAUUUAGAGAGCAACUGAUGGACUCCAGGUUAGAUCCUGGGACUGCUUCCCUGCAUGGACAGCAUGGAGCAUGUGAGCGUGGCAAUCCAAACUGCUUAGCACUAUCUUAAUCACAGAUUGUCAUGUAGUAUUGGUGAGUUAGGUACCCAAGGGAGAAGACCUGAACCACAACUCCUUUGUGUUUCAGGGCCGGGGAUAAUACACCUUCUUAUAGGUUCAUCUUCAGCUCAUGUAUUGCUGACAUCUUGCUGAGAGAAACAUAGCAAAUAGCAAGAAUCAUCCCAGAGGGCAUCUGUUGGCAGCUGUAUACACAGGACUACGUUGGUGUUCACAAAGCAUUUUUCCAAUUUUGCAAAUUGAUUCAGAGAUGAAAUUUCAUGAGCGUUUGUUGACACUCGCAUAUAGCAGAUGGAUUUGUAAAUGGGCUCUGCAAAGAUGAUUGAAAAACAACCCCCCAUCCCCGCUGCAUCCAUUGGUCUUGUACAAUCCCAUGGCGUUCUCUGGGCUGACAUGUGACAGGAGGUAAGCAUGGCUCUUUGGAGCUGUGAGCCUCCCUGUCCCCCUAAAGCAGAUGCUCCCCUGUCAGAUCCCAGCCCAGCACAGUGCUGGGACCAGAUUUCUGGUUUUCAAUUAAGAUUCAAACAUCACAAUGAUAGAGUCCUCCUAAUCCUUCUACAAAGGUGUGUGCAGUUAAUCAAACUGCAAUGCCGUGGGCUCCGGGUGGCUUUGUUUAACAUCAGCUUAGUCAUAAAUCUCUGGGGGAUAUGUUCACCUGCUUGGCAUGUGCAAUGUGCUUGCAGCGCUCGCAGAGGGACAAGGCUGCUCCUGGUUGGGUUGUAGGGCAGGUGCACCAGCUGUGCUGCCUAACAUAGCCUUUUAAUAGCUGCUGGGAGGAAGAGGAGCCCUUGGCCUUCCUUUUGUGCAGAUGAACAUAUGUCCAUCAGGGAGAUGGGGAGUUGGGGAGUGAUUUAUUAAAAACUAGGAUUUGUCAAGCAACAGGCUGAGGAAAAACGAUCACAUUUUUGUAAGCUAGCCAGUUUUAAGAUCCUUUAGUAUGUCUCCAUUGAAGCCUUCAGGAGUAUUGUGGUGAUUAGGUCCGAGAGAACACAGUGAAGGUUUGGCCAUGGGAAUUUUCCCACUUUCCCAGAACUUGUGCCCCAGUGGAAAGUGACAGAGGAAUGGUUAUCAAGGCUAGAGAAGUCCCCCCGGCCAGUUAUGCUUGUCCUGCUACAGGUUUGCAUUAUCAGAGAUGCUUUCCUAGAACCCUUUAUAGACGGAGAGGGCAGUGUUAAUUUUGGAUGCAUAUGCAAGGCCAAAUCCUGGUUUGGUGAUACCAAUGUAAAGCUGAAAUUAAUUAUUAUUUUCAAUUAAAGCAAGCUCUAGGCAGUAAUAAUGGGAGCAAAAACGAACGUAAGGUUCACUUAUGGAUGAAGGGAAAAAUGCAUCCUUGCAGUAUGAGAAAGAAAAACCUGAUAUCCUACCCCAAUCCCUCUGUGUAUGGUUUGGCUGUGUGUUUGCACUCAUCUGUCUCUAUGAGUCACAAUAACUCCUCACCACAUGCACAGCUCCGGUAUGGAUGUGGAUGGUAAUAACCCAUCAGCAUGCACUGAAUCUAUCACUUAAGCAUAAGAGCUUAACUCCCUUAUGCCUCAGAGUGUGUUUCAGGGGGUAAGACUGAAAUGAAAUCCCCUCUGUGUCCCUGUGUCAGAAUAUAUACACACACACACACACAUAUAUAUAUAUAUGUGUAUAUAUAUAAGUGUUUCUGUGUUCUCAUAUUACCUCAGAGUGUUUCUUGUGUGAUUCAGGGCUAGUAGGCACAAAAGCAGUAUUGAAGAUUAAUUUCAUUUAAUUCUGGCAAUAAAGAGCAUUGCAGGCACAAGAGGUUUGCCAUCAAUGUUGGAGGGCAUUAAGUAUUUGGUUUUUUUUUUAGUUGCAAGAUAAUAAUGUCCUGGUGUAAAUGUUUUAUAAUGAUCUCAUGAAUUAUUCACACUUAACUUGAUAACCUGAUGUUUUAUGGGAUAUGGUCUCUAGAGUACAAGGGGCGGGGAGGGGGAUUUUAAAAUAAAUAAAUAAGAAGAUAAGCCCCAGCUGCAACAACCAGAAAGCACUGAGACCUCUGGUUUGUUUUCUGUCUGCACUGAAGGGUGGUUUCAUUCUUGCAGUUAUAUUUUUUGUGAUGAUGAGCCACAGAAUGUGAGCGAGUGAGUGAGGUUAUUUUCUAUAUAUGCUAAAGGAAAAGAGAAAGGAAUCAACCACCCUUCACUGUUUGUUUAAUCUGGAAGUGGUGUUUGAACACUUCACCUAUUGUUAUGGAGCUCAGGGGUUCUGUUAUUGUUGAUAACAUUCCCAUUUGUUGAAGCAUUAGCACAAACUGAUGCGGAUUUUCCUUUAUGCAUACUUCUGUGCCUUUUCCCUCCUUCCCAUUCCCUUCUCUUCAUCUCCCAUUCUUUCAUCCUUACUCUCAUUCUCUUUCUUUAUUCCUUUUCCUUUUUUUCCUAUUUUCUUUUCAGUCCUGGUUCUUCUGGGUUGUUUUUUCCUCCUUUUUCUCCGUGCCUUUUUCAUUUCUUUUCAUCUUUCAGCAUUUUCUUCUGUCUACAAUUUUCUCUUUGUUUUCUCUAUUGCUAACAGGGUUUUAAUAUUUGCUGAAGCCCACGGGCCUUAACCUAAAUAAGCUGCAGAAAGAGUCAGACCCAGAGAAGAGUUGCUGUGAUUUAAUUAAACUUGGUGACAGCUUCUGGAAGAAAAGUGCUGAAGCUGACACUCAGACAUCCAAUCUGAAUGUCUAUCAGCCCUUGAUAUCCCAGAUGCACUAGAAACAAAUGCAGUAACUUCAUUGACAUACCCUAGAGAUAAAUGGCAGAACAUACACAGCAAAGAUAUAGAGAAGAGUUCAUAGUGACAAUGCAAGCGAUGUCUCUUCUAUGGAGAACAAAAGCCUAUUGCAGACUUCAAGUUCUUCUCUCUGUGGGCAGAGGAGGGGGAGCAAUACUGCAUUUGGGAUGGCUAGCCUGAGUCACCCGAGCGACGUGGCACCCAGGUGCUUGCAGUAUUGAGGUUUAUCGCACAGGUGUUUCAGCGAAGAGGUUUCAUCAGUCAGGGAUACGUGUGUUUUUUUCAAAGGAACUCCGGGGGGGUCUCGGUGUGCUUUUAAAUUUUGAAGAGGAAAUUUGGAGAGCAAUUUGGAGAGUGGCUGGUGAGACGUGAGCCAUCGUAGGCAGAUGGAUUCAUAGGCAGGACUUUUUAUAGAAUGACUUUGAAAGAAUGGUCCAACCAACUUGCUUCAUGCAUUUAUUUAAAUCUAUGCUACAAAGUGAAGAGCAGAAGAAAGCUAAAAUUUGCAUGGCUUGUUUUUCUUCUUUUUCCCAACCUUAUUUUAUUUAUUAAAUCACUCUGAAUUAUGCCUUCCAAAGGACACUUUUCCCCUUGUUGUUUAUUAUACCUUCAUCAGCCUUGAAAUGGGAGCUGCAGGCAGCUUGAUAAAUGGAUUGAAAAGCUGCUUCUGCCAGCAUCAAACAAACAAAACCCCAAUAUCCAUAAAACCUUCUGUUUUAGAAACGCUAAAACAAGCACUAUUUCCCUCUGAGCUGCGCUAAAGAAUGAUGUGCCCGUAUCCCUCACUGUUUAUAGGGUAUUUUCAUCCAGUUGUGCCCAGAGCAGAAGUUCAUUACUGCAUCGUGGCCAGGACUCAGCCUGCAGCAGUGGGAGCAGGGGCAGCUGGCUAUGAUGGGAGAGAGCGAGACAGUGCUAGGAAGGCUGAGCAAAUAUUGACUUAGACUCUGAAAUGCAUGGGGCAAAUCAGCCAAGAUGUCUGAAGUUGGGUCCUGCUUCCACCAUGUUCGACCAUUGGAUUGGCCUGGUAACAAACCAGGACUUCAUCUACUGUGGUGUGUUGGUAAAGGUAAGCGGUCCAGUCCUAUGUGUGAAGGUACAAAAUGUUAACAGGUAAAUGAAGUGGUAAUGGACCAUCAGUUGCAAAGCACUCAAAAAGCAAGGUGAAGGCAUGUUUCACUGUCUUUAGUAAAUAGCAGUGAUGUUGCAACAAAGGAUAAGGGGGAAAAAGCCAAACGAAACAGAGAAAUGGGAUGUGAGGUUUGCCUUGGCCCAAGCUCACUGGUGUGUAACUUGCCCAUAUAGAUCUUGUUGAACACAGGGUACCCUACUCUCCUAACACAGUGUCCAGUAUGCAGCAAGAGGGCACACCAAAGGGAUGACUCAUAGAUAUCUGAUAUGGAAAUGGAUGCUGUCAAGGCACCAAUCAUGUCUCUGUUCCUACCCAUUGCUUGCUUGACUUCUGACUGUGUCAUAACACGGCUGCAAAGUCUCAGGCUGCUUAGGGUUGCAUCUUCCAAGUAAUCAUUCCAGUCUGGAUUUAUCACCAAAUUAUGGAGAGCCAACAUUACGGUGUUAUUGCAGUGACCCACUCUGUCUCUCUCUCUCUCUAUUUUUUUUUCCCAUCAACUCCAAUUCCUCUUAAGGGCAUUUUAGACUUUAGAAAGUCAUUUGCUGUUCUUUGAGGUGUGAAGGAUGGACAGGCUGAGACUGCCUUUCUCUUACUGAGAAGAUGUGGCAUGUACAAGGCCAUGCAGAUGGCAAUACUGAUGGGAAUAGGAGGCAGGAGAUCAGAAAGUGCCUUGACCCCUGUGAUUCUCCAGGCAUUUGGAAUGCAUAAUUGCAGCUUGUUUAACACCAAAGGAUAACUGAUCAUUCUGAGAGGAGGAAGACACUGGUGGGGAUCGAUAUUCCUAUGGCUGUGCUAGAAAAAUAGCGAAAAAGAAUGGCUCUUUAUCUCUCACAGCAAAGCAGGAGGAAUAAAUGCCUACGACUUCUUGUGAUUGUUCUUUUCAAAGCCCACAGAGGGUUUGUUCAGUGCUGGCUGUCAUUGCAGUCGUGAGCUGCAGUGAGUGUGUAUGGAUGAUGUGCAUCCUUCCUUCCAGACGUGGGCUGACUGAAGGCAAGGCAGGAGAGCUCUGCUUCUUGUUUCAGAGAGGAAAAGUAAGUCACCAUGAAGGUGAAACAUGGAGAAAUUGGGCUGCAGACAGAUUGGUGGAAUAGCGACCGUGGGAAAUCACAACUGAGCACUCCUAUGUUCAUUUUCUGUGUGGGCCAUGUUGAUCUGCAGCUUUUGUGUAAAACUAUGAGUCACGAAGAGCUGAUUUCAGUUGGUAGAAACAAAGCUGACUUUGCAGUGGUACUCACGGGGUUCUGGAGUAAAAGCAUAGAGUCUUUUGGGUGAAAAAUACAUUUUCUCAAAGUGUUUAUCUGAAGGAGUUUGUUCUCCAUGAAGUGUUUUUUGAGCUCUUGCAUUGUCUCACAGGGUGGAAGGAGAUGACUGUAAAGUUAGGACACUGAUUUUCAGUAUAAAAACCUUAAUUGUUGACUCUGGUAAUGUGGCUCUUAAAUGAGCACGUCCGGACCUGUACUUGUGUUGGUCCUGCAUCAGUAUUCUGAUCUCUCAUCCACAACAUACAACCUGGUUGUAAUUAUGACGCCACAGUCUUUUGAAACAAAACAGGAAGACUGAGAACAGCCCUGAAACAGUGCAGUUUUCAGGUCAGCUUGGAUAGAAUGAGAGGAGUAUAAGUGCUAAGCCUGACUGGCCAGCUGUAGUGCCGUGACACAAGUCGGCUUGGACCUGAGGAGCAUCCUGGGUCUGCAUGAGCUGCUCUCAUGAGCCACACUGUGCACCCCACAUGCAGGCUUAGGAUCUGGGCUGGUAGAACUCAGGGGGCACCCCAUCGCCUCACUCCCCACACAGGUUCUUACAGCACAAGGCUGACCUCCAGUGGGCUCUUACCAGAGUAGCUGGCCUGUAAAUCCGGGGACGGUGUCUGAGAUGCUCUUUAGAGGCUGUAUGUCCAGAUGUCAGAGCAGAUAUCUGCUCCUUGCCCUUUUCAGACCCUUCUGGCCUAAAGAUGGAGCUUAGCAGCGGUCUCCUGCUGAUAAAUGGAACCAUAGCUGCACUGAGGUAGAUAAUUCUAACUGCAGUUGCACUGCAGUAGAUAAUUCCGAAAGAUGUCUUUGCAAACAGGGAGAAAAUACCUGACGUAUGUCCCUUCUCCCUGAAAAGCAAAGGGGAACUGUGGUGAGCAGAAAGCCACAGUGGUGCAGCCUUACCUGCUACAGAGUGGGAAUAUCACCCACUGCUGUAGACUCUUGCCGAUUUCCUGAGAAAACCUUGUUAUUGCAGUUCAUAAAGAUGACUGUUGUGGAGCUCGGUGGUUGUGAUGAACUUUGGCUGCAAAAUGGGUGGAUGGAAUGCCUCGCUUGAGCAAUUGGGAGAGGUCUCUGAAGAGAGCAGGAUAACAAUUGUCCCAGCUGAGCUGCUUUUCCCAGAGCCUACUUAGCAUAGUCUAAGGCCUUCAUUUGCUGUUAACUGAAGGAAUGUCUUACAAGGGCCCCCUGCUGGUUUUUAGAGAUAUGGAAUCUGUGGGUAAAUAAGUUAAUUUGUAGUUGCACAUGGGCAAAGAUAAUGAGCUGAAAAUAACAAAGGAAGAAUAAGAAGGAGGGGAAGAGAUUGCAAAGAAGCUAAUUUAUUUCACUAAAUCCCCUAAGAAAAUCAAAUAAACCAUUUUUGAGGAGCUGAGUGGCUGAGAGAUGGCUCUCGCCUGGAAAUGAUUUUUGUAUCAAUCACAGAAUCAUGAAUCUCAGUGGUUGGAAGAGAUCUCAAGAGUUCAUUGAGUCCAACCCCCCUGCUAAAGCAGGUACCCUGAAAUAGGUUGCAUAGGUAGGCGUCCAGCUGGGUCUUGUAUAUCUCCACAGGAGGAGACUUCACAACCUCCCUGAGCAGCAUGUUCCAGUGCUUCGUCACCCUGACCAUAAAGAAGUUCUUUGUUCAAGUUUUAGGCCAUUACUCCCUGUCCUAUUGUUACACACCACCCAGAAGAGCCUGGCCUCAUCCAUUUGGCUCCCACCUCCCUUUAUGUAUUUGUAAAUAUUUAUCAGAUCCCCUCUCAGUCUUUUCCCCAGGCUGAACAGUCCCAGGUUACUCAGCCUUUCUUCAUAUGGCAGGCACUCCAGGAUCUUAAUCAUCUUUGUGCCCCUCCAUUGUGCUCUUUCUAGGAGAUCUGUGUCUUUUUUGAACUGGGUAGCCCAGAACUGGACACAGUAGUCCAAAUGCCUCACCAGGACAGAGUAGAGGGGGAGGAUCACCUCCCUUGACCUGCUGGCCACACUAUCUUUAAUGCAUCUCAGGAUCCCAUUGGCCUUCUUGGCCACAAGGGCACGCUGCUGGUUCAUUGCCAACCUGUUGUCCACCGGAACCCCCAGGACCUUCUCCACAGAGCUCCUCUCCAGCAGGUCAUCCCCUAACCUGUACUGAUGCAUGUGAUUCUUCCUCCCCAGGUGCAAGUCUCUACACCUGCUCUUGAAGGAGAUAAGAGUUGGGUCAUGACUUGGAGAAAUAAGAAAAGCAAAAAGGAGGAGGAACAUGAUUUCCUUUGCAGGUGACAGCUUUGGCUGGUGCAGUUCAGUGGCAGAGCUGUGGCUUUGGGAUUAGCACAGUGUUAUCCUGUGCCUGAAUUGCCCCUGGCCUGGGAGAACCUUUGUGAUGCCUUGAGCCUCCACUGGAAAGUGCUCAGAGACAUAGAUGGUAUGAAAAACAGCACAUUCAAGCCAGAAAGAGGACAGGAAAGAGGACUGCAGAAGGGACCAGAAUACUUAACAGUCAGCAAAGCGGACACAGUCAGGUCUGCACUACUUUGGUCCAGGAGUCGGGAGGUAGAUGGUUACUGUGAAGCUCCCCACUGUGUGUUGUUGUGUGUGUCUACGUUGCAGUGCAGGAUCCUGGCACUGAUGCUGUAAUGUAAACCUGUGUUUCUAUACGUGUGGUCUGGUUUUUUUGCAGGAACAGGUAACUUGAUCUGGGCGGAAAUGUUGCAGGUCUUUGGGGAAGCUGAGUUGUGUGGUAUUAGCCAAGCUCAUUCUGUAUUCCCUCUGCCUGUAUUAUUUCCCUAGCACCAAGCCAACUAACAGAAACUGUUAGUUUGUAUGCGUUUAAAUAAACAGUAACUGUAUCUCC